CCGCUGUGAAAACGCUUUUUUAUCCAGCCUCCAGGGGACGCGGCUGAGUUUCCGGUGAUGAGCACCGACGCUGAGCCAGGCACAGCACUAACCUGGAGUCCUUCACAGGCACCGCAUCUGGUCGCCCCCCACCUUGGUCAUUAUCACGCUCCCCACCUAGGGGCAGGAGGAACUGCAGGCUCAGGAUGAAGAAACCAAGUCUCUAAAUACCACCUCCAUGCUAAAAAUUUCCAAACAUACACCUCCUGCCAGGAUGCCUCCCUUGAACUCAGGCCUGAAUAUCCAGCUGUGACAGCAGGGCCUGAUGGAUGACUCAGCCUCCAGAGUCAGACACGACUGAGCAACCGAACUGAACUGACCAGGAGGGGGUCACCUGGCCCCCCGACUGCACCUGCCUGCCUGCAAGGUGGGCUGGAGACGUGAUCAUUUUGUGUUGGUCCGUUGCUGGUCCAUUCAGAGCUGGGGUCGUAUUCUUCACCUUCCCGUGCGAUUUUGAGCCCUAGUCGGGGAGCUCAGCUCCCACCGGCCUCGC